AGAACGAACGCUGGCGGCAUGCCUAACACAUGCAAGUCGAACGCUCUUGGGAUUUCGGUCUCAAGGGAGUGGCGCACGGGUGAGUAGCGCGUGGGAACCUGCCCUGUUGUGGGGGAUAACCGAGGGAAACUUCGGCUAAUACCGCAUAAGCCGGCUGUCUUGCGAAAGAUGGCCGGGAAAGAUUUAUCGCGACAGGAGGGGCCCGCGUCGGAUUAGGUAGUUGGCGGGGUAACGGCCCACCAAGCCGGUGAUCCGUAGCUGGUCUGAGAGGAUGAUCAGCCACACUGGGACUGAGACACGGCCCAGACUCCUACGGGAGGCAGCAGUGGGGAAUAUUGGACAAUGGGCGCAAGCCUGAUCCAGCAAUGCCGCGUGAGUGAUGAAGGCCUUCGGGUUGUAACCGCUUUCAGCAGGGACGAAGCGAAGUGAUGGUACCUGCAGAAGAAGCGCCGGCUAACUACGUGCCAGCAGCCGCGGU
rnacentral:rRNA from 1 species